ACACUCUUUCCUUGCAAAGUUUACCAACCUCCCGAGAUAAGCUUUUCUCUCAUUGAGCAAGCAUGCUGAGUAGUGGAUUCCAUCCAGAUUUCUCUCCCAGAUUUGUGAGUGGAGCCUCUUCUCUGCUAAGUCGCUGUGUGCCUUGAGCGCCACCAUGAAAGUCUGAGCGUUUGGCUGCUGGCUUGCUCAUAGCACUCAAGAGAAAAGGCUGUUCUCAGCAUAUCCCAGGAAACGAUGUUUUGCUACUCCAUGCAAAGUCUCAGCGUUUGGAGGCAGGCCAACUUCUCGUUGCAUCUGAUAGAAGACGUGCUGUCCCAUGAUGAUCGUGUUCCAGGCAACCAACGUCAUGUUUAUUUGUCCUCCUGAACACUUGUGAUGCUUCCACAUGUCCACGAGGCUGCUUGCGACGAAUGCAUCGGCUUUGUAUUCACAAUUUGCGAGGAAAACCAACCUAUCCUGUUCUUCGUCCCAUCCUGUUGAACAACCUGUGUUGCAAGCUGCAGUGUAGACUUCGACCAUACUUUCACAAGUGCACUUGCUUGAUUCCCGGCUUGACUCUGGAGAAACUUAUCUGGCUGCUAUGCCCUGCACUGCGUCUUCUCAUCGAAGUUGAGCUUUGAGCGCCUGCAAGAACAGAGAGAAAAAGUAGUACGUUACCUUUUCUCAAACCUUUCGUCUCAAACAACUUCUCUGGCCUUUGGAGGUGCACUGACGUCUUCUCCCCCGUCACUCUAGAGGAUAGCUCAGUCAAAUCGAAACUUGGUAGGUUCUUGCUCUAUUUUCCAGUCCAUGUUCCGAGCCAGCUGUGCAAUAACCUCCAAGUCUGGUUAUGUGAUCUUCACUGUCCGUGAGCAAGAGCCUGCUGUCUUCUUGCUCUGCAACUUCAUCUCCUUGAAGAUUGUUUGUACACAAUCUUCCAUGUGACAACGCAUGCACUGUGCUGAGUUACGCGUCACUGCCAGUGUUGGCAGGACACUUUGAGGAGAAUCCUAGAGUGCCAUUGCUGUGCAAACCACGAGUGUGAGCUUCCAGCUGUUUCUUCUCAGUCGGAGGAUCGUCCACCACAACUUCGAUCUGCCACCCGGGAUCCUGAAAGAUCACAUUACUGCGCUGCUUCCUUCGAGAUAACAUCCAUCGCACGAGCAAAAAGCACGCGAGCAGCACCAAGAUUGCAACCAAAACCCAGAGAAGAAACUGGAGCAGCGACCACGGCGUCCUCCGAACCACUGUAACUACUGCUGCGGGUGUUGGUGUGGCCACUGCUGCGUCGUGACCGUCGCGACGAUGGUGGUGGUGGUGGUGGUGGUGGUGGUGGUGGUUGUGGCGUCCUCCAUGGUGGUGACCAUGGUGGUGACCAUGGUGAUGGUGGUGAACAACCAGAGGAGCUCCAUCACCGUGAUGACGAUGGUACACUGCUGCUGCUGGAGCUGGAUGGUGGUGGCGAGCAUGAUCGAGGAUAGCAGGCGUUGGAGCUAGAUGAGCAGGGUGGCCAUGAGCAGGGUGAACGAAAGCAGCUGGCGCUGGGGCUCGAUCUGGAGCGUCACCUUGAAGAACUGGAGCUAAAGCUGGCGCUGGCUCGUGGCCUUGGUGUCCAUGGUGGUGUGCUGGAUGUGCUGGAGCUGCGGGUGUGAAGCUCGGUGAUGGCCGCCAUGCCAGGGCGCUUGAGCUCGGCGGGCAAGCAUUGGGGCAGCGUGAGUGUGAGAGACCAUAGCUUACCUGACGAGAGCUUCGACAAUAGAAAAAUCCAAGCGAGAAAGAUUAUAACCUAACCCUUGACUUAGAAAAAAUAAAGAGGUACUUUUGGCUUUGUGAAAAAAAAAAACGAGUGGACUCGAGAGCUGGUGACGCUGUGGAUUGUCAGCAAGGGUGCCAUCGGGCUUGAGCAUGCCAAAGAGCCCAAACCUAGAUGUGAACAGUGAUUUAAUCUCACAAUCACGAAAUGCUCUAGGUACAAAUAUUUCAAAAAGAGAAAACAACUUUAAUUUGAUGGAAACUUCGUUUUAAGCUCAAUCCUAAUGUAGUGAAUAAAACUUUUUUACUCGCUUUUCAAACCUCUGGAAACUUGGCACUCAUUGAAUGCGAGUCAUGGAGCUCAUGGAGACAAAAGCCAUCAGCGUGCACAAACUACUUCUUUUUGCAAAAAAGUGGGAAAAAAGAACACAAGAUAAAUAUCUAUGAACACCAGUAAAGGUCAACACCAGUAAAAUUGCUCAAAACCCCUAGAACGAUCCAAUAAUUGAACAUAUUUGGAGAUGCUGGGUAUCGAUCCCGGUAAUCUUUUCUCUUCACCAUUCUAAUACUCAUCCUUGGAGAUUCUGGCAUCUUUUGUUGCAUUUCAAGAGCCGUUUGAGUGAUGAGCUUUGGAAAGACCACCAUCUCCAGCAGGUUUCUAUAGGCAAGCAUCUGCAUCUGCAGGCAACCAUGAAGAAUGUUACUAAUGCUUAUAUAAUAGUAAUAGUAUUCACAAGGGAGGACGAAAAGAGAGUGUUAUUCAAGAGGAUGAGUAAAGAAAUUGGUAAAACCAACAGAAUAUAAAUCAAUUAUAUGAUCUUCAGUAGCAAUCAAAUAGUAUAAACACUAAUAUUAUUUGGUAUUUUGGUUUGCUAGUAAACAUAUUUAGCUACAUAAUUGUAUAGCUAAAAGUCUUUUAUAAUGAGUAGCUCUUUUUUCUUACAAAAUUUCAAAAUUGGAAACAUCACCUUUACAUUCUUUCAAAGUUUAAAUGCAUUUGCUUUUGGUCUCUCAUAGCCUCUGAACAAACAAAUAGAGAUAUUGGGCACGCUUGAUUAAUUCAAAGAAACUAAUUAUUAAAAGAUUACUAGGUGAUGGAACUUGUAAGUUAUAACAAGGAAAUCAAGGAGUCAUUUUAAAAAUAUUUUGGUACAGUAAACAAUGUUUUCUUAAUGUUUUAGUGGCAAACAGAUAUUUUAAAUAAAAUAGUAAUUUAAAUAAUAUCUAGAUCUGAAAUUUUAGAGGUUUUUAUUUCUGACCUAAUUUGAACAAUAAAUUCACAAUAUUUAGUAUUACUAAAUAUAAAAUUAUUACUAUAAAAUCCUAAUUUAUUUAUAAAUAUAUCAAAUUCAAAUAGAAUUCUAAUAACUAGUUCUUUUCCAAUAUCUUUGAUUCCUUUGACCAUGCAUUUGUAAUGUUAAGGAACAUUAAUUUCUUGAGAAAAGUGAGAUUGUUAUUAUAUUUGUAAAGUGUUCAUUUCAAAUUUAAAUCCUGUUUCAACAAAAGCAUAAAGCUUCAAAUUCAUUAAUUUCACCCAAAUAACCAAAUAUAUGGUAUAUCUUUUGGUUUUUGGAUAAUAGACAUUGCACAGACCAUGUGUGGAGAACCUUCAUAGGACAUAACCAUAUAAAUUGAUCACAUUGUUCUGGAGGAUUCCUAUGUUGUUUUCAUCUACAAAAACAAUUUGUUAGAGUGUGUAAAGUUCAUAUAAUAAUUUGCUUACCACAUAAUAUUUCUCCAAUCCAAACCAAAUAUUUGGCUGUAGAACCUACUCUAGGUUGACAUAUAGCUCACUAAAUCUCAUGAAUAUUUUGUUUUUUGACUUAGAAGUAGCUAGGCUUUUAAUUGCUCAAAAACAUUGGUCCUUUGUGUUCUAUAGUUACAUACUCAUGCUUGGGAUGGUGCAAGUUUUUAGAUUGCAUGGGCUCACUUACUCAUUGUUUUCUUUUGAUAGUUUUAAGGUUUUCAAUUGGUUUUAUUGCAAAUUAAUUUCCAACAGCAUUUAAAGUUGAUCCCAUCACUUUGUGAGGUUGUGAGCAAGAGGUUGUGUCAAUAUUGUAGUAAAUAAACAUUCCACCAAAUCCUUAAAAUUAUAUGUAUUUUAUUAUAACUUAGCCUUUUAUAUAAGAGUGCAUAAAAGUCUAUUGUAAGAUAGAGAUGACCAAAUCAUUCUAGAAAGUUUCAUAUUAAAAUAUACAUUUAGAGCAACUUGUUUUUGAUAGUGGGUAGCAAGUAUUUUAAAACUCAUUUAAUAAAGAAAGAGAAUUAAUAAAAAAAUCAAUGCUAGUAGUUCUUGAUUUGAGAAAUAAUUAAAGUCUUUAAAUGUAGAAAAUGACUAAACCACCAUGCUAACUAAGUCUGUAGUUCUAAACUUGUAUUCCAUGUAAAUAUUACCUUCAACCCACUAAAAUGUAUGAACUUGUAUUACUUGUUUAAAGUUUUUAAAGUGUUUGUACAUUUUAAACUCUAGCACAACCAGUUAUGCUUAUCAUGGUAUUCAACUUGAAUGCAUUUUUUUAUGCGUUCAUGUAACUCUACUCUUAAAAAAGAAGGCAACUCCUCUCUCAGAUGAUUAAAACUUUAUUUAUGCCACCAUUAUAGAUAAUCCUCCUUAAUGUUUUUGUGCAUCAUUACUCAUGAAACUAUAAAGCAUUUGUGGUGUUGAAAAUUUUAUUUCAACUUGGUAUGUGUUGUUCAAAAUAGAACUUAAAAUGACAUUUCUCUCAAAUAACUAUCAUCAUCAAGGAUUAUGCUCUAUAUAAAAUGAUUUUCUAAUAAAGAGAACUUAAAUAAAGGAGUUCACAAAAAUAAUUUUAUACACUAAAAAAUAUUCUUUUAAUAUUUUAGCUGUAAUAUUUUUAUUAAACAACUAUUUUAAAUAUCUUAAAUUAUUUAAAAUAUCUAAUCUUUGUCGGCAAUAGUUGCUAUUUGAUCACCUAAUUUAGAGAAACAAUUAUUAUUUUUAAUAUUUAAUAUUUAUUACAUAUACUAAUUUUUAAAAUUAUAUAUAUAUAUAUAUAUAUAUAUUAUGUUUUCAUUAGCUUUUUAGUGUAAUUACAAGAAAUGCCCUAUAUUGUUUUCAAUGCAAUUUAUAGAUAAGAUUUAUUUUAAUUUCAAAUACAAUAUCAAUAUCUAUAUUUUCACCUCAUAUUCAGAUGUUAUAAUGAAUCCAAAGUUUAACACUUGGAUUCAUCCUAUGUAAAGGAUGAAAUUCUUUAUAAUUUUAACAUUUAAAGAAUUAUGUGUAAUUGCAACUUUGUUGUAAAGUUUUCUAUUUACAAUGUCACUUCCAUAACUAAGAAUCAUAUACUCAUAAUGAUGGUAUUGUUGCUUGAUGUUGAUCUUUUACUUUUAACUAUAAUGCCUUUGAGUAUGUUGUUUUUGCUUCCUUUGACCAAAUAUUUGUAAUCUUCAUAUAUUUGUUGUUUCUCGUCUACUAAUAUGAAAUCAAGAAAGAUUUAGAAAACUUGAAUUGUAAUUAUAAAGUUUGUAUAUAUGUACAGGGCAUGGUUGAAAGAAGAAUAUAACAUCUAAUCUACAAUAAAAUCUUGGAGAAAAUUAAGUCCCAUAUAUACUAAUGAAAAACAUUCUAUAUACUAAUGUAAAUACAUUUGUGAAUAGGUUUGUAUAGAUUUAAAGUCCAUGCACUCCUAGGGCUCCAUGGCUGCUCUGCUCGGAUGGGGUUGUGUGGGCAUUCCCAUGAGAGUCUGUGCGUCUGUAAGCUCCUAGAGGAGGUAAUAGGGGCGUGUAGAAUGGUAGUCGGGCACACAAUCCAGGUUCCUCUCGGGAUCAACUCAAGACUGUGAGAAGCAAAUUGGCUCAUCUCCAACUCAGCAAAGCUUUGAUCCCUGUUCACCACUGCCUCAAGAGCUCUAUAGCUUUGGCCUACAGAAAAGCAAUUAUCAAGGACACUCCCUAUUCAUCCCUGGAUUCUCUCGAGGAAUCCCUUGCUGCUGGGCCUGGUGAGGGAUUGUUGUUUCAGCACAUGCUCAGGAUCAACUCCGUUGUAGGAACCAGGUAUUUCGAGUUGAUGUAGGGCUGUCGAGUUACUGUGCCAGCCAACACUACUCCUGAAGUUUUGGAAAUCUGACACGGCACUAAUGUCUGGGUUCUCUCGAAAGAGAAAGAGGCGCCACCACAAGAAUCACCUAGUUUAGCUUCGUUUUUAGAUUGAGGUAAGUUGUAAGUUUGGAUAUCUUUGUAUUCUAUGAUAAGAUUUUUUUUCCGUCUGAUACUACUUCUGUCAAAUCUAAAAUUUAGUUCCAGUUUCCAAGAUUCUGAGGGCUGGUUUCAACAAUGCGUGCUUAUGGGCUUUCUCAGGUGUUUGGGAUGCUGUGCCAGGUAACCUGAUGCUGGCGUAGGAACAACAGUUGGGCUGCAGCUCAAAAUUGCAAAGCUGUGGAUUAUGAGGCAAAGAUUGGUAAACACAACAUUGGAGUUAUUAUGUUGUUCUUGAGUGUGUUUCGCAAAAGUCUAAUAUUUCCCUUUCAGAUCAUUACAUAGUUGUGAAUUUUAUAUAUUUCCAACUGUAGUCUGCAUUUCUAUUCUGCAUAAACUUGUAUACAAACUCAAUUAAAAAAAUAUAUAUAUAUAAGCUUCAAAUCUAUAAUCAAACUGACUGAAAAUGCCUCGCCUCCGCCAUCUUUUGAGAGCCAUACGACAUAGUAAACAAUCUAAUGGAGAUUUAGAUGGCUCUUAAACUAUGAUUGAUCAUGAUACACAUACUAUAGCUGUUCAAAAUAAUCAUGAUAAUGAUUCUAUACACCAUAAUAUUAAAAUUGGAGGUAAUAUAACUUGGUUAUUCUGGCAACACAUUGAAGAGUUUUCAUCUUUAAAAUGCAAUGCAUUACAAAAAGUACAAGCAAAUGAUAAACUACCCAUAUUAAAAUCUAUAAUGUUAAAGUCAUUAUAAAUGCUAUGGUGGUAUUCAUGGGUGGGAGUGGUGGGUUUAAUAUUGCUUGAUAUAUGUAAUCAUAAUAAUGACAUGCAUGUAAGGUUCCAGAUGCUUCUGACUGUCCAACUGAAUGGUGUAUAUCAUCAUUAUCAUGAUCACCUUUACCAUUUGAUAUUAGACACUGCUCUUGCUUUUGCAUCUAUGUCUUCUAAUAUUGAUAUUGUAAAAGGUCAUGGUCCUUAUAGCUUUAAACUCCAUGGUCAAAUAUAUCAUAAUAUUGUAUCAACACAUCAUUCUGAAGGUCGUGCUGAUGUUUGCUCCCGGCCAAUGGGAGGCAGUCAAGCUGCAUAGGGCGAGAGAAGAAAGUGCUACAACACAUGUUACAUGUAAAUGUGCUGACUGUGACUACAUUUGCAGUCUAUCAAGUGAAUUGGUUUUGUUUUGUCAUGUUUUUUUAGGGUUUAUGAAAUGGCAAGAGAGCCCCUGCCACUGCUGCCAAUUUGCGAUCCAAAUCUGAGAUGCUGUGUCAAUGCACGUCCUAGUACAAUUUGUGUUAAGAUUUAAUUGAUUUGUCCACACUUUCUUCUAGCAUUGUUUCAGUUCUAGGUCUGCUUUGGUAGUGGUAGAGUUAAAAAAUGAAGGGUCAAAUGCUUAUAAGCCAAAUCUAUAUGGCAAGAUGAUAGUUAUUGAGUGGAGAAUCACUGUUGGAAGCAACACUAUUGUCUUGAAAAAUCACCGAGAUUGGUUUCUAUCAUGCAAGGGAUUCACAUCUUUUGUGUUGUGUAUUCCAAGUGAAAAAAUUUCUUCAAACAAGAAAGAUUUGUGCGAUGUGAUUGACCAUUUCAGUGUAAGCUAAGAUUGUAUUAUAAACUUUUCUACUUUCCUACUGUCACCUGUUUUUUGUAGAUUGAUGCGGAAAACCCAUGUGUGAUUAUGUCUCAAGACAUGAGUCAGCAUUACCACUGCCACCUCCAAGGCCAGCACCGCUUAGAACUCUUUUGUCCAAGUCAAGGCAAGAGGGCGUGGUGACAAGUGUUACACCAUGCACUCCUAGGGCUCCAUGGCUGCUCUGCUCAGACAUGGUUGUGUGGGCAUUCCCGUGAGAGUCUGUGCAUCUGUAAGCUCCACCGAGUCUGGCUUGAAAGGCAUGCUGAAAACAAACUCGCUCGCAUCUGCUGCCUGACAUAGUGUGUCAAUGAUGCAUAGAUUAAUAUUUUUAUUUAUAAUUUAUAAUCUUUCCUAAACACUUUCUAGUGUAUUCUUGUUUAUUCUACUAUUGAUAUGGAAUAAUAUUAAUCUUGACUCAUAAAUUAUAAAUAUGCUUAUAACCAUUGAUCAAUUAAAAUACUCAAUGAAUGAUAUUAAGUAUUGUCUCUCAUAUUUUUUAUCCUUCACCAUGGUGUGCCAGCUAAGACCCUUUUGCGUCUUUUCAGGUACCAUCUUUGUUUGGGUUUCAUGGACGGCUCCAUCAACCUUGCAUUCCUUGCAAAGUUUACCAACCUCCCGAGAAAAGCUUUUCUCUCAUUGAGCAAGCAUGCUGAGUAGUGGAUUCCAUCCAGAUUUCUCUCCCAGAUCUGUGAGUGGAGCCUCUUCUCUGCUAAGUCGCUGUGUGCCUUGAGCGCCACCAUGAAAGUCUGAGCGUUUGGCUGCUGGCUUGCUCAUAGCACUCAAGAGCAAAGGUUGUUC
rnacentral:lncRNA from 1 species